AGAGUUUGAUCCUGGCUCAGGAUGAACGCUGGCGGCGUGCCUAAUACAUGCAAGUCGAGCGAACAGAUAAGGAGCUUGCUCCUUUGAAGUUAGCGGCGGACGGGUGAGUAACACGUGGGUAACCUACCUAUAAGACUGGGAUAACUUCGGGAAACCGGAGCUAAUACCGGAUAACAUUUAGAACCGCAUGGUUCUAAAGUGAAAGAUGGUUUUGCUAUCACUUAUAGAUGGACCCGCGCCGUAUUAGCUAGUUGGUAAGGUAACGGCUUACCAAGGCGACGAUACGUAGCCGACCUGAGAGGGUGAUCGGCCACACUGGAACUGAGACACGGUCCAGACUCCUACGGGAGGCAGCAGUAGGGAAUCUUCCGCAAUGGGCGAAAGCCUGACGGAGCAACGCCGCGUGAGUGAUGAAGGGCUUCGGCUCGUAAAACUCUGUUAUUAGGGAAGAACAAAUGUGUAAGUAACUGUGCACAUCUUGACGGUACCUAAUCAGAAAGCCACGGCUAACUACGUG
rnacentral:rRNA from 1 species